UGUACUGGCUUGGUUAGAUGGUUGCUAGGAUACCUUUCAUCUCUUAAAUUCUGUGAUUCUGGGUCAAAGGAUAACUAAGGCCAGUUGCAUUUGAAUGGGAUACUCUUGAGUCUAGUAACAACGGUGCCUACAAGUGGAUUGCAACGAGAACAUGUGCUUGCCUCGGGGAAGCCUAAGAAUGGACCUCAAGUCUCUGUCUGACUCUGGCAAUUUGCUUUCUUCUUUGAGCACAGGUCAUUGAAAAGCCAUUCUGAGACACAGAGACUAACAGUUUUAAAUAUUUCCUGCCAUGAAUCAUCAUUAAGGGCAUAUUUCCAAACCCA